CCUACGGGAGGCAGCAGUGGGGAAUAUUGCACAAUGGGGGAAACCCUGAUGCAGCGACGCCGCGUGAGUGAAGAAGUAAUUCGUUAUGUAAAGCUCUAUCAGCAGGGAAGAAAAUGACGGUACCUGAGUAAGAAGCCCCGGCUAACUACGUGCCAGCAGCCGCGGUAAUACGUAGGGGGCAAGCGUUAUCCGGAUUUACUGGGUGUAAAGGGAGCGUAGACGGCAGUGCAAGUCUGGAGUGAAAGGCGGGGGCUCAACCCCCGGACUGCUCUGGAAACUGUACGGCUGGAGUGCAGGAGAGGUAAGUGGAAUUCCUAGUGUAGCGGUGAAAUGCGUAGAUAUCAGGAGGAACACCGGUGGCGAAGGCGGCUUACUGGACCAUAACUGACGUUGAGGCUCGAAAGCGUGGGGAGCGAACAGGAUUAGAUACCCGGGUAGUC
rnacentral:rRNA from 1 species